GUCACAGUCGCUCAAUGGACGAGCAUCAAUCUUCUAAGUUGACAUUUGU
rnacentral:tRNA from 1 species